AUUGAACGCUGGCGGCGUGCCUAACACAUGCAAGUCGAGCGGUAACAGGUGUAGCAAUACAUGCUGACGAGCGGCGGACGGGUGAGUAACGCUUGGGAAUCUGCCUGUUAGUGGGGGACAACCCGGGGAAACUCGGGCUAAUACCGCAUACGCACUACGGUGGAAAGCCGGGGACCGCAAGGCCUGGCGCUAACAGAUGAGCCCAAGUCGGAUUAGCUAGUUGGUAGGGUAACGGCCACCAAGGCGACGAUCCGUAACUGGUCUGAGAGGACGACCAGUCACACCGGAACUGAGACACGGUCCGGACUCCUACGGGAGGCAGCAGUGGGGAAUAUUGGACAAUGGGCGAAAGCCUGAUCCAGCGACGCCGCGU
rnacentral:rRNA from 1 species